rnacentral:rRNA from 1 species
UAGGGAAUUUUGUCCAAUGGGCGCAAGCCUGAGACAGCAACGCCGCGUGUGGGAUGAAGGCCCUCGGGUCGUAAACCACUGUCAGAGGGGAAGAACGGGCCGACGGCCAAUACCCGUCGGUCGUGACGGUACCCUCAGAGGAAGGUCCGGCUAACUCCGUGCCAGCAGCCGCGGUAAUACGGAGGGACCAAGCGUUGUUCGGAAUUACUGGGCGUAAAGCGCGUGUAGGCGGUUGGGUAAGUCGAAUGUGAAAGCCCAGGGCUCAACCCUGGAAUUGCAUCCGAAACUGCCCAGCUAGAGUCCCGGAGAGGAAGGCAGAAUUCCCAGUGUAGGGGUGAAAUCCGUAGAUAUUGGGAGGAAUACCAGUGGCGAAGGCGGCCUUCUGGACGGUGACUGACGCUGAGACGCGAAAGCGUGGGGAGCAAACAGGAUUAGAUACCCCCGUAGUCC